rnacentral:misc_RNA from 1 species
AGAAUAAUCAUCAGCAGUGUCUAACAUGUCAAUAUCUAGAAAUUUAAAUCUACAAUUUCGAGAUUGCCGCUACUGCUGUCAAUACUGUUGACAAAAACACAUUAGCAUUUUUCACAAUUGAAAUUGUAACUCAGUGAAUGAGCUGAAGACCAUGGACGAGUUUUCAGCUCCAUACACCAUACCCAUUGAUCCCAUGGGGAUCAACUGGGCUCAUGUUAACCCCCGAGGUUCUUACCUUCACUUCAUUCCAAAUCAGAGAUGCUGUCGUGGAAUCCAGGCUCAGCAUCUGUUUGUUACUUCCAGCUGGUAAGUCUUCCAUGACUCUCAUUUGAAGUGAGGCAGCUCUCAGUGGAGCAAUCAGCCCCCUGUUGAAGCAGACUAGAGGGUGCUUCUUCUGGGGCACGCACUUCAGCCACUGCUUCACUUUGCAAGGAGUAAAGGCCAAGCGGAUCAUGGGAGGCAUUUCUUGGUGUCUUAUUCCCUGAACCCUUCUGCCCAUCGGUGUCAAUAACUGUACCUCCAAUAAAUUGAUCAGCAAGCAUCUUACAAGCCCUCUCAAGCAUGGCUAAAUAUCUUUGUUCUGCAUCCUGGCGAAUUUGCAAAUGCUUCUGUGCCUCAACUUGUAGAUAUAAUUUACUUUGGACUUCCAUUUGCACUCUUAAUGCCUCCUUGACUUCAUAACCCUCAUUCAUAUCAGAAGUAGUAACAGUUGGUGAAGAAUUACUGCCUCCAGUGCUUUCUAAAAGGCACGAGCCAGACAACCCAUCUUUGGAUGCUUCACCAAUAUCCUUCCCUGAUUGCUUACCCAGUCUGUAUUUCUGGAGGUGACUUUUUAAAUGGAAGAGUGUAAGUCCCUUUACAUUCAUUGUCCGCAUGAUGGCCUUUGGUGUAGCUUUAUUGGCACCACCGAGCUGAGUGACGGCGUCAACGAAUCGUUCGUGCAGAUCGGAAGUCCAACGGAGGCGAGGUUUGGGAUCGGAAGUCAAGACAAGGCAUGGCUCUGCUGCUCCAAUUUUUUGAGUAUUAGUAGUGUGAUUCUGAUUUUGCCUUUGGACUUGCAUAUCUUCCUGAUGACUCACUAUCCCAUUCCCACCAGCAGGUCCAGCACCGCCGGGGUGGGGCCGAAUUGGCCUCUGGAACAUGAAGUACUUUUUGCCUUAAUUAAGGGAAAUGGAUAGAAGAAAAAGCCCACACCCCAUCACCCCCAACCAGCCAGCCAAAAAUUGG